AUUGAACGCUGGCGGCAGGCUUAACACAUGCAAGUCGAGCGGAGAUGAGGUGCUUGCACCUUAUCUUAGCGGCGGACGGGUGAGUAAUGCUUAGGAAUCUGCCUAUUAGUGGGGGACAACAUUCCGAAAGGAAUGCUAAUACCGCAUACGUCCUACGGGAGAAAGCAGGGGAUCUUCGGACCUUGCGCCAAUAGAUGAGCCUAAGUCGGAUUAGCUAGUUGGUGGGGUAAAGGCCUACCAAGGCGACGAUCUGUAGCGGGUCUGAGAGGAUGAUCCGCCACACUGGGACUGAGACACGGCCCAGACUCCUACGGGAGGCAGCAGUGGGGAAUAUUGGACAAUGGGGGGAACCCUGAUCCAGCCAUGCCGCGUGUGUGAAGAAGGCCUUAUGGUUGUAAAGCACUUUAAGCGAGGAGGAGGCUACUGAGACUAAUACUCUUGGAUAGUGGACGUUGCUCGCAGAAUAAGCACCGGCUAACUCUGUGCCAGCCGCCGCCGUAAAAC
rnacentral:rRNA from 1 species